CACACACACACACACACACACACACACACACACACACACACACACACACACACACACACACACACACACACACACAUAUAUAUAUUAAACACUAUCUUGAUACGAGACUAACUUUAGACUACACUAACUUUAUCUUAACAUUUCACUCAUGAAGAGAUUAUUGAAUUUGAAUAAAGAAAUACUUUUUGAAUAUUAUCGUGAGACUACAUUAACAUUAUACUACACUAUCUUUAGACUAGACUAAAUUUUAACUCCUAUGAAGAAUUGUUGUGGUUGAUAUAUAUAAAAAAAAUACUUUUAAACAUUAUCUUGAGACUAGACUACUGUAACUUUAGACUACACUAACUCUAAACAGCAUUCCACUCAUGAAGAGAUCAGUGUUUGGCUAACAAAAUAUUUUUCAACUUUAUCUUAAGACUAGACUAACUCGAUCAUAACUUGCAUAACUUUACACUUAAAAGAUAAUUGUUAUGGUAGAUUUUAAAAUGUAAUUGUCUGCUUUAUCUUGACACUAGACUAACUUUAGUUAACACUGGCUUAGAUAAAAAUAUCCACAGUACUUUCAGUUUUCAUUCCAAAUAUACAAAUACUGGCGUUAUGUAAUUAUCAGCACAAAUUCCCUUAGUGUCAUGAAUCGAGAAUUAAUUAAAUGCACAAGCACAGAUGUGAUCUUUUGUCUAUGAUUUGGCCAACAUGCUCCGGUUUGUUUUGACACCCGCUACAACUGAGCCUAGCUUUUCUUUGCUCUGUUUGUUUGGCAACAGGCACGCUGAGGGUAAAUUUCCACAGCUGAUAAGGCAGGUUGCACGUGUUGACUGUGCCUCUGCCGGGUGUUGGCGGAGCGACCUUGUCUUACCUAAUGAGCAGAUCCUCUCAGGGAGAUUACAGGAUGCUAGACAUGAUUCACCAUUCCUGUCACAGCCAAUACUUUAAUUCACCUUUGAAACAGGCUAACUCGGAGUCAGCAAGUGUCCUGUGAGCAUGUUCCUCUGAGGAGAAUGGAAUGCAAGCUCACAUGAAUCAUGGAAACCAGCAAACAUCAAUGCAAAAGUAGUUGCAUUCACCGAAGCAGGAAGUUAUGAUUGCAAACUAUCAACUUUAUGACCGUUUACAGCUACAUUACCACAACUUUCUGAUAAUAGCAUAUCUUUCUGAAGUAUAAUAUAAGAAUUUCUGCCCUAAAAGUAUAUAUAUAUAUUUUUUUUUUCACCUCUGUGUCUGUUGAUGACCUUAUAGUGAGUUAAUACAGACCUUGACCAACUCCACCCUAUGCUGGCCCACUGACAUAUAAAUGUCAGCUUAGCAGAUAUGAUCCAUUAAGACUCUUUGAACCUUAUGAAUGACCGGCUGAGAAGCUAAGGUGGAGCGAGGGUAAGGGUGAAGGCUCUGGCAUGCUAACACGAAGGCUGCUGGUGCAAUUCCAAGUGCGGGAGAACUAGGAACUGUAGAGUUACUUAGAUAGCAAUCCUGCUGUCACCUAUGUGCCUUUGAGCAAGGUUACUCGAAACCAGCGGGGGAGACGGAUCAAAUGACCCAUCCAAACCUCUGGGGAGUAAUGAGAGUUUUCUUCAUUUCCCAGGAUUCAGAGCAGACGGGCCCGAACCGUCCAGCCUGUUUGAAGAGCUCAUACCUAAUCUGUUCCCUUUAAUACGUCCAAGGAGAACCUGGAAACAGUAUCCUAUUAACCGCAAUCCUGCACACAUUCAGAGAAAUGGCGGUAAACUAUUGCAGUCAUUAUGUCCGAGAGACUGAACAAGAACAGCAAAACACCAUCACAAACCCUUAAUGAAGAGCUGGAAAUGCCACAGGCACACACUUAAUGAAAAUAAUGACAUGGUUCAUUUGUUUAAUUAAUAAACGACUUGCGUUUUACGUUCAUAAAAGCCACAUAAUAUUUGAUUCUUGAUUCUUAACACUGUGUUGUUAUCUGAAUGAUCCACAGCUCUGUUUUUUAAUUUAAUGACAGUUGUUCAUGAGUCCCUUGUUUGUCCUGAACAGUUUAACCGCCUGCUGUUCUUCACAAAUUCUUUGGUUUUGCAGCAUUUUGUGUAUUUGAACCUUUUCCAACAAUGACUGUAUGAUUUUGAGAUCCAUCUUUUCCACACUGAGGACAACUGAUGGACUCAUACGCGACUAUUAAAGAAGGUUCAAACAUUCACUGAUGCUCCAGAAGGAAAACCCAUCCAUUAAGAGCCGGGGCGUGAAAACUUUUGAACAUUUGCUUAUUUUGCCUAAAAAUCUUCAUUCAGCGCUGUCCUUCAGAAGCUACAGAAGACAAAAUUAGUUCAAUGUACCCCGAUCUUCAAAUUCUAAAAGUUUCAACCCUCAGUCAUUGUUGGAAAGGGUCCAAAUACUGCAAAACCAUUGACUUUGUUGGACUUUAGUUGCAUGUAGUUCCAUCCCAACACUGGUAACUGAUUACAGUUACAUUUAUUUUACAGUUACAUUAGUUAUUCUCUAAAACUUGAGUGAAGUAUAACGUUUUCAGUGUAACAACAUGAAACCACAAUCAAAUAAUGUAGUUCUCUGUCAGGGUUUCUGUUAAAUAUACUGUGUCGUAUCCUCAUGGUGUUGCAGGCAGAGAAAGUUUGCUUUGACAAGUCUCAGCUGGAGAUUGAAGCAGACUUUUCCUCCCCUGUGUUGUACGUUUGGUACGCCGCAGCCAUUUUUUGACAGCUCGUCAUUGUUUUUGUCUCUUCAUUUCUAUUCCAGGCAGAGUUUUUCGAGAAAAUGUAGAGGUUUCAGCUAGGAGAGGAUGGACGACUGAAAUGGAAAGUUGAAUUGGAUCCAGAGGGGAGAUAUAGAGACUCCCAGCAGCUGAUAAGAAACAACGAAAUGAGGGUGAGCAGCCUUUCAGAAACCUCAUCUAUUUCCAGCUUAAUCUGUUGAAACAGCAAAGGAACAGCAAAGACUCCACUGUCACUGGAGUAUAAAACAUGGAGAAUACGGCGAACCGAUCUGUCAUGUGACUCCUCAGGCUGAAGACUAACAGAUGCAUUUGUAUAUUGAAGUGAUUUUAGAAAUAAUGUGCCGGUAAAGAGCCUUUGAUUAUAAUAAUGCGCAGAUAAAUGACUGGCUAAAUGUGUCUUGGCCUGCAAGCGAGACUGAUUAUGUAAGAGAUCUGAAUUCGGAAAACAGGGUUUGUAGCCAUGCAAGUAACUAGGAAAUUAUUAUAUGUGGCUUUGUUUGAAUGAUUUUAUCAUUCUUAUUUAUAUUAUAUUAUUAUAUAUUUAUAAAAAUAUGUAUAAUUUAAUACAAUGUAUUUAUAAUUAUAUUAAUUAUUAUUAUUGAUUAUUUAACUUAGUUAAGUUUUAAAAGAAGUAGAAAUAUGUAAGGAAUAUGUAAAUGUUCUUUAUAAUAAUAAUAACAAUAAAUACAAUUUAAUUACAAACUUUUUUAUAUUAUUAUUAGUAGUAGUAGUGGUAAUAAUAAUCAUAGUAGUUACAAUGUAACAAUUAUGCUUUUAUCAUGAACAGCUUCAUAAUUACAAUUGAAUAAUUUUCAAUUUCGUCAUACUUUAAUUUAUUGAUAUGUAAUUUAAUUUAAAAUGUUGCUGUUCAAUUUUAAACGUAUACACAGUUUCAAUAUUUUCAAUUUUAUUUUUUAUUUUUUAAUAAAUUAAAAUUGUAUGAUAAUAUAAUAGGAUAAUUUAGAAAGAAACCUGUUGUAAAAUUAUUAAUAUUUAUAAAUACAAUAGGUAUGUAUGUAUUAUUUCUUUUUUCUGCAUGAAAGGUAUUUUCCAUGUGUUUUGUUGUUGUGUCCACGGAAUGCAUCAUAGAUCCCAUCUGCAUAAUAUUUUACUAAAAAUAUGUCUGGUCUCACGGCCUCUUGGUCUGACCUUUACUAAGAAUUCAUUUGGAUUUUUUUCUAAAUCAUUCUUUUAGUUCCCUUCCUGUAGGUCAGCAGAAAUCACUUCCCUACUGAGGCCAGCAGCAGGUAACACUAGCCGUCACACACAGUCACCUUAUAAGGGUCCGGUGGCACGACCGGAGGUCACGGCCCCCCGUCCAGAGAUACGUGACCAGCGUGAGCUCACAGGGCUUCUGAAGUGCUCACACAAUCACAGAGGACUGUGAACACUGUAAAAGGCAAUGGAGCCGAUAAGAGCACACUCAUCUUAUCCGAAGGAAGUGCACUCAAAAUAGGUCACAUGAUAGUGGUGGUGUAAAACUGGAGAUGUUUUCACAGAUUGAAGCUGUUGACUAAUUAUUUGUGCUUUUGCAAAUCAAACAAAUCCCAAACUCAAAGUAUAUUGCGGCCUAAACUUCAGGUUUUCCAAGUUAUCCAUUGCUUUGGCUGAAGUCAAACAACAGAAGAGGGUCAAUAAGGCAAUUGAACUGUGUCAAAACAUUACAGAUGCUACUUAAUAGCAUUUAUCGGUGCAUAACAGAUUACAGAUGUGGGUCAGUAGUGCUUUGACUUCUCGGUGUAAUCUUGAAGUAACUGUGGGAUCCUGCUGAAAGUAAACAAGCCGUUUUUGACUGAAUGCUGAUGGUUGGCAAUUUGAGACUCGGUAUGAAGUCCUUCACUAGGACUGGCUUUGCAUUGUGCAACGAAGUAGAGAUCUCCGAGUGUCUGGUUUUCAGGUUUCUUGCAUGGUUUUAAUGAAAUUGUUUGCAUUUCGUCCUAACUCUUAUUUGGAUCAUGCAAAGUCUUAAACCAACUACCAAAUCACAGACUAGAGAGAGUUUGUUCACUUGAAAAUGAAAAUUCUCCCAUCAUUUACUGACCCUCGUGUUGUUUCAAACCUGUCGGACUUUUGAGGAACGCAAAGAGAGAAAGUCUAGAAGGUCCAAUUAUUCUACAUUUCAAGAGAUUUAUUGAUAUAGACACAGCCAUUGCUCAGCAGGGUCGUCUCUGUGAUGUCAUUUCCUGCUUUAUUUAUUUAUUUAUUAUUAUCAUUCAUUCAUGUUUCCAAAUGUUAGUUGAACCACAUGACUUCAAUUUUGCCCACAAAAAUAUUUUAAAAACGUGAAAAAAAUGCAUACAUUUUGUUUAGAGCUUAACAUUUAUUUGUUUGUGUGUCGUUGUUGUUUUUGUUGUUUGUUCGGUGGUUGUUGUUGUUGUUUGGGUGUUGUUGUUUUACAUGAUUGAUUUGGCUCACAAAAAUCUUUUAAAUAUGAAUGAGUGAAUAUAUUUUGUUAAUGUAUACUAUGUAUGUAUUUAUUUGUUUAUUUGUGCACAACAUAACGAUAAAUAUUUAUUUAUUUA